rnacentral:rRNA from 1 species
ACACAUGCAAGUCGAACGGCAGCAUGAUCUAGCUUGCUAGAUUGAUGGCGAGUGGCGAACGGGUGAGUAAUACAUCGGAACGUGCCCUGUAGUGGGGGAUAACUAGUCGAAAGAUUAGCUAAUACCGCAUACGACCUGAGGGUGAAAGUGGGGGACCGCAAGGCCUCAUGCUAUAGGAGCGGCCGAUGUCUGAUUAGCUAGUUGGUGGGGUAAAGGCCCACCAAGGCGACGAUCAGUAGCUGGUCUGAGAGGACGAUCAGCCACACUGGGACUGAGACACGGCCCAGACUCCUACGGGAGGCAGCAGUGGGGAAUUUUGGACAAUGGGCGAAAGCCUGAUCCAGCAAUGCCGCGUGUGUGAAGAAGGCCUUCGGGUUGUAAAGCACUUUUGUCCGGAAAGAAAUGGCUCUGGUUAAUACCUGGGGUCGAUGACGGUACCGGAAGAAUAAGGACCGGCUAACUACGUGCCAGCAGCCGCGGUAAUACGUAGGGUCCAAGCGUUAAUCGGAAUUACUGGGCGUAAAGCGUGCGCAGGCGGUUGUGCAAGACCGAUGUGAAAUC